UACGGAGGGGGCUAGCGUUGUUCGGAAUUACUGGGCGUAAAGGGCUCGUAGGCGGCCAACUAAGUCGGACGUGAAAUCCCCAGGCUCAACCUGGGAACUGCGUCCGAUACUGGAUGGCUUGAAUCCGGGAGAGGGAUGCAGAAUUCCAGGUGUAGCGGUGAAAUGCGUAGACAUCUGGAGGAAUACCGGUGGCGAAGGCGGCAUCCUGGACCGGCAUUGACGCUGAGGAGCGAAAGCCAGGGGAGCAAACGGG
rnacentral:rRNA from 1 species